GGGGGUGAAUUGGUUUCGACGUGGGUUCGGACGCGUUUCAGGGCAUGCCGAGGUUCUGUCACCUCGUAAAACAGCAGAAAAAAACUAACUGCAAACGACGAACGUUUCGCACUCGCCGCUUAAACACCGGUGAGCCUCACAACAGCAGGCCGAUGGGCUGGGCAAGGGGGUCGAAAGACUUCCAGGCUGUGAGGGAAUUUACAUCGGCUGGUCAUGCGUCGGGCACCUUGGCGUAUGACGAGAUCUAAGGAUGCUGGCUUCCUGGGUAGCGUGCCACUGCGCGAUCUUGGAGGCGAGACUCAAAUCAGACGGCUAAGCAUGUAGAACUGGGCGAAGAAGGCUUGCGGACGCGGGUUCAAACCCCGCCACCUCCAUAC
rnacentral:tmRNA from 1 species